AGUUUGGAAGAUUCAAAAUUUUCUACAAUGAUAUCACCUCAGUGUUUAGGUAAAAUUAUCCCUGAUGUAUGCAAGGCGAUAUGUCAAAUUCUUAGCAAGCAUUAUCUUGAGUUUCCUACAACUGAAGCAAAGUGAAUGAAGGUAGCGGAUACGUUUCAACAAAAAUGACAGUUUCCGCAUUGCUUGGGCUCAGUAGAUGGCAAGCAUGUCAGGAUUGUAUGGCCGGUGAAAAGUGGAUCAUUUUUUUAUAAUAAGGCAUUGUAAAUAUCAAUUAUACAGGUGAAUAUUCUGAACCAGAUGGCUUAAAAAUUACCUCGUUGCAACGUAGUCCUGCAAUCGUCAUGCAACUCAGGAGGCUAAGAGCAUUCGAGAAUAGUUUUUAAGGUACUUUAAUAAUGAAGGCAGUGUAGCUUAUCAGCAUGAUCGUAUUACGUACCAAGCAUAAUAGUAUAUAAGCCUAAUAAAUAAGCCACUUUUAUAAUAAAUAGUA